rnacentral:rRNA from 1 species
AACGAACGCUGGCGGCAUGCCUAACACAUGCAAGUCGAACGGGAUCCUGGUUUCGGCCAGGUGAGAGUGGCGGACGGGUGAGUAACGCGUGGGAAUCUGCCCAGUGGUGGGGGAUAACUGCGGGAAACUGCAGCUAAUACCGCAUGAGCCCGCAAGGGGAAAGAUUGAUCGCCAUUGGAGGGGCCCGCGUUCGAUUAGGUAGUUGGUGAGGUAACGGCUCACCAAGCCUACGANCGAUAGCUGGUCUGAGAGGAUGAUCA